AGUGCCGUGUCUGAAUUAAAGACUCUCCUUGAUGGGGUGAUGCAUGUAGGUUGAAAUCCUUCCGGCACCU
rnacentral:tRNA from 1 species